UCUACGGGUGGCUGCAGUGGGGAAUAUUGGACAAUGGGCGAAAGCCUGAUCCAGCCAUGCCGCGUGUGUGAAGAAGGCCUUCGGGUUGUAAAGCACUUUCAGUGGGGAAGAAAGCCUUGGGGCUAAUACCCUCGAGGAAGGACAUCACCCACAGAAGAAGCACCGGCUAACUCCGUGCCAGCAGCCGCGGUAAUACGGAGGGUGCGAGCGUUAAUCGGAAUUACUGGGCGUAAAGCGCGCGUAGGCGGUCUGAUAAGCCGGUUGUGAAAGCCCCGGGCUCAACCUGGGAACGGCAUCCGGAACUGUCAGGCUAGAGUGCAGGAGAGGAAGGUAGAAUUCCCGGUGUAGCGGUGAAAUGCGUAGAGAUCGGGAGGAAUACCAGUGGCGAAGGCGGCCUUCUGGACUGACACUGACGCUGAGGUGCGAAAGCGUGGGUAGCAAACAGGAUUAGAUACCCCAGUAGUC
rnacentral:rRNA from 1 species